AUUGAACGCUGGCGGCAGGCCUAACACAUGCAAGUCGAACGAGUGGCGGACGGGUGAGUAAUGUCUGGGAAACUGCCUGAUGGAGGGGGAUAACUACUGGAAACGGUAGCUAAUACCGCAUACCCUCAGAUGUGCCCAGAUGGGAUUAGCUUGUUGGUGGGGUAACGGCUCACCAAGGCGAAGAUGCCGAGCUGGUCUGAGAGGAUGACCAGCCACACUGGAACUGAGACACGUCCAAGCCUCCUACGGGAGGCAGCAGUGGGAAAUAUUGCACAAUGGGCGCAAGCCUGAUGCAGCCAUGCCGCGGGUAUGAAGAGGGCCUUCGGGUUGUAAAGUACUUUCAUCGGGGAGGCGUUACCCGCAGAAGAAGCACCGGCUAACUCCGUGCCAGCAGCCGCGGUAAUAC
rnacentral:rRNA from 1 species